rnacentral:pre_miRNA from 1 species
UCUUACUGAUGAGUAAACAAAGUGGUUUCUUGAGAAAGAAGCUGCUCCUGGUGAAGAUGCUGUGAA